rnacentral:rRNA from 1 species
AGAGUUUGAUCCUGGCUCAGAUUGAACGCUGGCGGCAGGCCUAACACAUGCAAGUCGAGCGGAAACGACACUAACAAUCCUUCGGGUGCGUUAAUGGGCGUCGAGCGGCGGACGGGUGAGUAAUGCCUAGGAAAUUGCCUUGAUGUGGGGGAUAACCAUUGGAAACGAUGGCUAAUACCGCAUAAUGCCUACGGGCCAAAGAGGGGGAUCUUCGGACCUCUCGCGUCAAGAUAUGCCUAGGUGGGAUUAGCUAGUUGGUGAGGUAAUGGCUCACCAAGGCGACGAUCCCUAGCUGGUCUGAGAGGAUGAUCAGCCACACUGGAACUGAGACACGGUCCAGACUCCUACGGGAGGCAGCAGUGGGGAAUAUUGCACAAUGGGCGAAAGCCUGAUGCAGCCAUGCCGCGUGUAUGAAGAAGGCCUUCGGGUUGUAAAGUACUUUCAGUUGUGAGGAAGGGGGUAAGCUUAAUACGCUUAUCUCUUGACGUUAGCAACAGAAGAAGCACCGGCUAACUCCGUGCCAGCAGCCGCGGUAAU